GCAACUCCAUCCAAUAUAUAUCAUCUUAAGUCAACGAAUAUUAAAUCCAGUUGAAAUCAAUUGAGCCAUAAGUAUGGAUAGUGACCAUGCACCAGGAACACAGAUCAGUUGUGCGAGGAGGAAACAAGUUCAGAUGUUGUCAGAUAAUUUAUUACUUGAAGCACAAAAGCAAGAUCGGCGUGAGGUCAGCUCUCCCACCCUUCGUCCCACGAGCGCCAUCACAUCGGAGUCAAGCCGAGCAACGGCACAGGCUGUGGUCACUCUGUCACUGGGAAACAGUGUUGCAGACCUCCAGAGAAGCGCCCAGCUGUACCCUGCGGGAGCGGCAGUGCAAAAGCGACGCACCCACCUGGCUAGGAAGAUGUCUGGGAAGCUGUGCCGUCUCUGCCUCCCAUCGGACAGGCCCGAGAAACCCUCUCGAGGCAACUCCCGGCCAGGCUGGUCUCCCCUCACCGCCCACAGGGAGUCAGGUCACAGAGGAGUCCCGGCGAGCGACUGACCGGGCUGUGGGGUAGCCUGAGUUUGCGACCAAAGCUAACAGAGUGGAAUGUUUCAUCAUGCCAAAAGCAGAGGAGUUAACCAGAAAUUCUCUCACUCCAGACAACUGGAUUGGAUUAACUGGCAGUUCAGUGAAACUGUCCUGAAAAGACACUUCUUUCCAUUUUCGCUUACUGUCCCCAUGGCUAAAGAAUAAAAACUGUUCUAAGGCCACGAAUAGCUGCAUAAGACAGCAUCACAAUUACUAAAUUCUGAAGCUCUUGCUUUUGCUAGUGAAUGGUAUCACACAUUAAAAUACAC
rnacentral:lncRNA from 1 species